AUAAUGCCGAAAUGGGAGGACUCAUAAUCCUUUGGUUCCAGGUUCGAAUCCUGGUGGGCCCACCA
rnacentral:tRNA from 1 species